AUCUAACUCUUUCCCUACAGGACCUUCAUAAACAGAGCUGUAUCUUUUCUUUCUAAACUGCUAUUCGCCACUAAGAUAAAGAUAAAAACUUUAAUG